GACGUAGGGCGCGAGCGUUGUCCGGAUUUAUUGGGCGUAAAGAGCUCGUAGGCGGUCUGUCGCGUCUGCUGUGAAAACUCGAGGCUCAACCUCGGGCUUGCAGUGGGUACGGGCAGACUAGAGUGCGGUAGGGGUGACUGGAAUUCCUGGUGUAGCGGUGGAAUGCGCAGAUAUCAGGAGGAACACCAACAGCGAAGGCAGCUCGCUGGGACGGUAUUGACGCUGAGGCGCGAAAGCGUGGGGAGCAAACAGG
rnacentral:rRNA from 1 species